rnacentral:lncRNA from 1 species
GGGUUCUUCAGUAGUUAGGAGGACUCACCUUCACUCUGAGCUUCGUGGGGCUCCUUGCAAGCUCAUUUCUUACUAGUUGCUCUUCCUCCUUCAGCCUGCCGACGCACAACCUAAGCCUCUUCUAUCUAUGCGUACUUCCAAGCUUGUGCGAGGAGGUCGGUGUAGUCUUUAAAAAAAUAUUUAUCAAGAGAGAAAAUCAGACACUCAUUCUAAAGUCCUCACUUAAGAGCCGACAUGACAACCGAGCCAUCGAAGUUAUAUACUUCUAGUGUGGCCGCAUUGAAUCACACCAUGUAGUCAUGCAGUGACUCUCCCUCUCCCUGCUGGAUGGAGAAGAGGCUAUCAGAGUUCUUUGACUAUGCACAAUUAUUGCCAGAGGAUGUAACAAACUACUUUUUGAGUUACUCGAAUGAAUGAAUAGACUUCAGUUGUGGAACAAAGUAGCAUAUCCUGUUGGAUUUCGAUUAUGCAACAGAAUGUUUUCAUUUUUUUUAACAUGCUACUAACUCUUCAAAAUAAGCAAACCAAAACCCAAUCCUAGGUAGACCUUGUUAAUGUCAAUCAAACACAAUAUAAAUAAUAAUCAGGUAAGAAGUAUACCUCCAAUCAGAUGAUAGUCUGAUACUAGUAUGAUCUCUACUAGACAUCCAAGUUGAUGCCCUCCAACGAUAGUCCACAUAGGAACUAAUCAUAGACCUUCCCAAUCUUUUAUUACACCAAAAAUCCUUUAUAAGAAUUCAGCAAUUCCUCCUCAAGGAUGAAAUGCACCGCAACCUGAGAGCUUUUUAUCCUUCACAAGGAACACCCAUAAAACCUUUUAAAGUCUUCUCUAAAAAGAAUAGUACACCA